AAACCAGCCAAUUAAUCUGCAUAUCUGAAUGCCUUUUUGCAGAAAUUUAGAAAAACUGGCAAUAGUGAUACCAUGUUACCAGUCUUAAAGAAAACUGAGGUCAUUAAGUUCCCUGAUAUUUAAGCA
rnacentral:snoRNA from 1 species